UGAGCAGUCUGCCCUUCACAUCGGAAUAACCAUUGGAAACGAUGGCUAAUACCGAAUAUGACUUCGGAUCGCAUGAUCUGAAGUGGAAAGCUCCGGCGGUGAAGGAUGAGCUCGCGGCCUAUCAGCUUGUUGGUGAGGUAAUAGCUCACCAAGGCGAUGACGGGUAGCCGGCCUGAGAGGGUGACCGGCCACACUGGGACUGAGACACGGCAGA
rnacentral:rRNA from 1 species